rnacentral:lncRNA from 1 species
AUGCUCGGCUCGAGGGCCAAGAUCGGGAAGCCCAAUGGUGAGAAUCUGGAUGAGUUCGAGUCUGGCAUCUCUCAGGCGCUGCUCGAGCUGGAGAUGAACGCAGAUCUCAAGGCACUCAACAUCACCACAGCCAAGGAAAUUGAAGUUGGUGGUGGUCAGAAAGCUAUCGUAAUUUUUAUACCAGUUCCUCAGCUUAAAUCUUUCCAGAAAAUCCAAGUCUGGUUAGUUCAUGAAUAGGAGAAAAAGUUCAGUGGGAUGCGUAUAGUCCUCAUUGCUCAGAGGAGGAUUCUGCCCAAGCCAACCCGGAAAAGCCAUACGAAAAAUAAGUAAAAGCGCCCCAGAAGCCGCACCCUGACAGCAGUGCAUGGUGCCAUCCUUGAAGACUCGGUCUUCCCAAGCGAAGUUGUGGGUAAGAGGAUUCAUGUGAAACUGGAUGGCAGCCGGCUCAUAAAUGUUCAGUUAGACAAAGCACAGCAGAACAACGUGGAGCACAAGGUCCAAACUUUUUCUGCUGUGUACAAGAAGCUCACAGGCAAGGAUGUUAAUUUUGAAUUCCCAGAGUUUCAGUUGUAA